rnacentral:rRNA from 1 species
AGAGUUUGAUCAUGGCUCAGAGCGAACGCUGGCGGCAGGCCUAAUACAUGCAAGUCGAACGGCUCUUCGGAGCAGUGGCGGACGGGUGAGUAACGCGUGGGAACGUGCCCAAAGGUACGGAAUAACUCAGGGAAACUUGAGCUAAUACCGUAUGUGCCCCUAGGGGGAAAGAUUUAUCGCCUUUGGAGCGGCCCGCGUUG